CAAAUUUCCAAAAUAACCUUGAAGAAUAGAGCUGGGAGAAUCAUGCUCCCUGAAUUCAGAUUAUACUAUAAAGCUACAGUGAUCAAAAAAGUAUGAUACUGGCACAAAAAUAGACAUAUUGGUCAAUGAAACAGGACAGAAAGCCAAGAAAUAAACCCAUGCACUUAUGGUCAU